UUUGAUAUUCGGGUUUCGAUUUCUUGAGAUUCGUAACUCCAAUAAAAAAUUUAAUCCGGUAAAAGUGUUCGUAUCCUUAUUCUCUACGUUUUGGCGUCACCUUUGACCGAUGGAAGUUGACGGUGACGUAGCUCCUCUUCCCCUUGAGUUCGGCUAACUGGAGUUCUAGGAAGCACAGACGAUUUCUGACGCUUUCUCCUUCAGCAGCUCGAUCAGAAAGCUUCUCCGGAGCUUCUGUUGUUUUGAUUUUGUACGGAGGUAGGGGAUUUUAUUUUGAAAUUAACUGUUUUUAAACUUUGAAUGCCAUGGAAGUCUAGUGGGUAUUUGUAAAUAAUUUAUGAUUGUUUGAAAUGACUGAAUGAUGAGUUUGAGUUGUGUUUGUGACUGAAUUUUGAUGAAUAUGUAUUUGAUUUCUUGAUUGAAAAGAGGUUGAAAAUGGUUCAGUUGGGACCCGAAAAAGGGUGGCUAACCCCGAGUUUUAGGGGAAGUGCUGCCGAAAUUUUAUAAAAAUCUGAGGUUUUAUUUGAAAAGUUAUUUUUAAAAGAUUUGGUUUUGAAAAAUUAAAUUAUUUGAGAUUUAUUUAGUUGAGAAAAAUGUGUAUUCUAUUUUUAAAACUAGAUUUAUUAAGAAACACAUAAUGUUUUAAAUCCAGUUUUGUAAGGAGAGAUUUUGUUCUAAGUGUUGUUUUGAGCUUGGUUUUUUUAAGAAAAUGAAUCUCUGCCACAGGAGAGCAGAGAACAAGGAUUUAAAGAAUAUAUUAAUUAAUGAAAUGUCUGCCACAGGAGAGCAGAUGUGAUAUUGUUUGGGCCUUAGUGCCAAAUGUAAAGUGGGGACGCCCACACACUGAGAACUGUUUUCCAGAUGUACGCUUAUUGAUUUGGAAAUUCACACUGAUGCGGCCUAGCCGUACGACUUAUAAGCACACUGAUGCAUCUGGAAAGCCAUAUCUGGGACUUGUGCUAUAUUUAAAAUUUGUUUUGAGUUUAGAAAUUUAAAGAAAAGUAAUUAUUUAUCUAAAGUAGAAAAAAAAAGUAUUUCCAAAGGUUUAACAAAAUAGUUUUGCUAAGUAAGUUAAUUAUUUGCAUUAAAUUCAUUACUUUUACGGCAUUCCCAUUCCCUACUGAGAACGUGUGGUUUGUUCUCACCCCAAAAUCUUCCACCCUUUCAGUGACACAGGUUCGAAGAUUCAGUUAGAAGAUGCAGACGACUAGUAGUUUUACUUGUGAUUCCUGUUAUUUUUAUAGAGUUCCCUCGCCCUUGUUGCUUUAAGUUUUAUUUUAUCCAGAGGGAUAGGUAUUGUAUUUGAGUUUUAUUUUAAAUUCAUUGUAUAGCAUUUAUUAUUAUUAAUAAUUGUGUGAUUUUAAUUACUA
rnacentral:lncRNA from 1 species